AGAAAAACUUAAUGUCUAUGCCACGGGAGAUGUACACCACACUUGCACUGCCUGGAUCAUUUGGAAACUGAAAUUUUGAGGUGUACUGAAGCAUGCCUUCUCAGGACAUUUCACAAUUUCACACCAGUGAGGAGAAGAGAAUCAUAGAAUAUCCUGACCUGGAAGCAACCCAAGGAUUAUUGAGUCCAACUGCUGGCUCCACGUAGGACCACCCAACAUUCAAACCAUACGUGUGAAGGCACUGCUGUAGCAGAAAUGAAAAUUCACAUCUUGACCCAGUGAUUGAGCACCUGGCGGGAAGGCCAGGCCAAUGCAGGGAAGCUCAGCUGCAUGCAAUGUGCCUAAGAGAGUGGAAGGGGUAGAACCAGGAUGCACCCCUUCCCAGGCCUCAUUUAAGGAUUGGCGGGGAAAGCAAUAGUAAUUCUGUGGAGAUCUCUGCAUGCUGGAGGCCUUCUGAAGGCCCUGUUGCUGAUACAGAGAGCAAAGCUCAGUGCUACCCCUCUGCUCCCUGUGAAGAGAUGCAGCUGCCAUGAGGCGUAUCCUCAGCUCCUCUGCUCUGGGCUGAGCAAACCUGGGCCUUAGUUGUCCUCUAGGCCUUUCAUCAUCUUCAUCACCCUCCUUUAGAUGCUUCAACUGUAUUCUAACAAUGAACCUAUAUUUUGGUAUAGGUUCCUAUAGGUUCCUAUAUUUUGAUAUAGGUUCCUAUAAGGAACCUAUAAAGCCUUAUGUUGCCAUCACUUAAGGGUAGUGAAGGGUAGAAGAGAAACUUAAUUUUAAAUAUGCUAAAACACUGAAUAAACUGUAAGGAUAUCUUAACAAAUAGAGGAAAAGAUCUAACAGAAAAUUAGAUCAUAAAUCCUUCUUAAAGAAAAUAGACAAUUUCAUUAGUAUCUAAUCUUAACCCAAUCAUAUAGGUAUGUAAUUCUUUAUGUCUUUCUAAAAACAUGACUCAACACAAUUAAAUGGGAUUUAUAUGGAAGGAAAUGUACCUACGAAUUUCCUUGCAGUAUCUAGGUCUUAACCACAAAUAGAUAGGGGGAAAAAAAAAACAACAACUUUUUUCCUGUUAAUUGCACAGUUAUUGCUGGAGAGCAUGAUGGCAAUACAUGCUUGUAAUAAAAGGUUUUCAAAUAGAAAUGCAUCUUUCUGAUAUCCAAUAUGAGUUCAAUUUUGAUGUUUUCCUCUGACAAACUUAAUAGUCUGACAUGUGCUUAGAAGAGAAAGAUAUUUCAUGGAAGGGAGGAAAAAGUAAAUACUAAUCACUAUCUCCUAUGUUACUGAAG